AAACUGCGAUAAGUAGCGUGAAUUGCAGACGCUUUGAACGUUAAACUUUCGAACGCACAUUGCGCCGUAGGAGUCCUACCCUACGGCACAUCUGGUUGAGGGUCGUGAUCAAAAACAGCCGUACAGUUGCUGGAUUACAACCAAUUGGCGAAUCAUGAGUUCGGCCCACCCGUACUCGGGCCGUACGUGUUUUGUCAUCAUGCUCUAGAGGAUAGCUUCUAAGCUUCGGCUUGUGGAGACUACCUGCCACAUGGACGGGCUAUCAGCUGAGGCGAUAGAUUCCGGCCUUAGGGUAUCAUGCUCUUAUAUACUCUUCGGCGUCUGGAAUACAGCUGGUUGGUUUCCGUACGUGCUUGGUGAAUUAUUCGCUUUCCCGACCUCAACUCAGGUGUGAUUACCC
rnacentral:misc_RNA from 1 species